GACGGAGGGUGCGGGCGUUAUUCGUUGUGAUUGGGUGUAAAGGGUACGUAGGCGGUUUGUGCUGUUUUGAUCAAAAUCGCGGAGUGUUCCUACGCAUUGAUCUUUUCAUAUACCAAACUAGAGUUGGAGAGUGGUUGGAGGUAUUUCCCAUGUAAGGAUUGAAUCUCGACAGAUGGGAACGACUGUCAGCGAGCGAAGGCGUCUUUCUGGCUCCAACUGACGCUCAGGUACGGAAGCUUGGGGCGCAAACGGG
rnacentral:rRNA from 1 species